CCCCAGCCGCUCUCACCAACACUCGCAAAUCGCCGGAGAGAGCGUGUGUUGUAUCGCGUGAGUUCCAAUUCCGCUAUCAGUCAAACCGAACACGCUGGCACUCACAGAUACUCCGCACGCAUCUGUGUGUGUGUGCUUCGAUGUGGAUUUCUCUCUGGGUGAACCGGCGAACGAACGGGAGUAAGUAAACAACACCAAGACCAGCACAUGGUUAUCAGUUCAGGCCAAGUGGUUACCGCCAGCCGCUCCGCGGACCUCGUAUUUCUGGGUAUUGUGCCUGCAGCGCGCUGUAACAUUAGUCACAGAUCGUUUGCUCAGCUUCUCUCUCUCUCCUGAAACAGAGAGAGGGAGAGAGAGUGCACCCUCUCGUCGGCGAAUCUGGUAUCGUCCAGAUACAAAUUCCGACUAGACGAGGCAUGAAUGGACUGCAACCUGCGGAAUCCUAGCGCCCGACACUUCAGACUUUGAUUUUCGACUAAGUAAAUGAGCCGACCACCGGCGAUCCGCACUCCACAACCCACUUCUGCCCACAUUUCCCCAGGAAACGCUCUGCAAAUUCAUUCUGAUUCUGGCAAUUGACGCAGUGAUGGCGGCCUGGCGGCGGGGCAGGCACAUGAGUCAGGGGCCAAUGACGACAGCCGCUGGCUGAUAAGGCUCCACUCCCGUUUCCGAUUUUACACACAAAGAAACAUUUAGUUUUAGGAUUUUCCGGGAGCAAAUGAAAGAUGAAGUGAUUUCCCAGAGAAUCUUUUUUGUACACCAUCAUUGCUUGAUAGGAUAUCUGAAUAAAAUAAAUAUACAGUA